rnacentral:rRNA from 1 species
UACGUAGGGGGCAAGCGUUGUCCGGAUUUACUGGGUGUAAAGGGCGCGCAGGCGGGAUAGCAAGUCAGAGGUGAAAUCCUACAGCUUAACUGUAGAACUGCCUUUGAUACUGUUAUUCUUGAGUUCGGGAGAGAGAGACGGAAUUCCAGGUGUAGUGGUGAAAUACGUAGAUAUCUGGAAGAACACCAGUUGCGAAGGCGGUCUCUUGGUCCGAAACUGACGCUGAGGCGCGAAAGCGUGGGGAGCAAACAGG